rnacentral:lncRNA from 1 species
GAAAAAAGAUCCAAAACUCCAUUAAAUUUAGCGAGUUCGCUACAUGCUCAACCCAGUAAACUCAGUUUCAUUUAAGAGUUUACUAAAAUUCGAGUCUACAGCCGAAUCAACUACCUAGACUUUUGGAAUCAUGCAAUUUCAUAAUCAACUAUUAUAUAUAACUCCACCGGGUUGAGCUAUGCGCAUUUUGGCACACAGAAAAUUUGAACUUUCUUGAUCAAUUUGUUACCACAGCCUCUUGUCA